CCUACGGGUGGCAGCAGUGGGGAAUAUUGCACAAUGGGGGAAACCCUGAUGCAGCAACGCCGCGUGAAGGAAGACGGUUUUCGGAUUGUAAACUUCUGUUCUUAGGGAAGCAGCAUGACGGUAGCUAAGGAGCAAGCCACGGCUAACUACGUGCCAGCAGCCGCGGUAAUACGUAGGUGGCAAGCGUUGUCCGGAAUUACUGGGUGUAAAGGGAGCGCAGGCGGGAAGCCAAGUCCGCUGUGAAAACUACGGGCUUAAAUUGUAGACUGCAGUUGAAACUGGUUUUCUUGAGUGAAGUAGAGGUAGGCGGAAUGCGGGGUGUAGCGGUGAAAUGCGUAGAUAUUAGGCGGAACACCGGUGGCGAAGGCGGCCAACUGGGCUUUAACUGACGCUGAGGCUCGAAAGUGUGGGGAGCAAACAGGAUUAGAUACCCUUGUAGUC
rnacentral:rRNA from 1 species